UUUAAGUGCAACCAUAAGUUUUCGCAUCCAACUUUGAUCGUCCGUUUUAUUUGAAUUUUUUUAUAAUUAGUAUUUUUAUCAUUAUGAGAUGAUAAAAUAUGAAUAAUACUUUAUACGUAACUUAUGUUUUUAAUUUUUUUUAAAAAAAUUUCAAAUAAGACGGACGGUCAAAAUUUAUGUACAGGAAAUCAUGGCUGCACUUAAA
rfam:Oryza nivara chromosome 1, whole genome shotgun sequence.